UGCAUACACAUGCAAGUCGAACGAUGAAGCAUUCUUCGGAAUGUGGAAGAGUGGCGAACGGGUGAGGAACACGUAAGAAUCUGCCCCUCGGUCGGGGACAACCCUUGGAAACGAGGGCUAAUACCCGAUAUGCUGUGGAGUGAAAGAAUUUCGCUGAGGGAUGAUCUUGCGUCUGAUUAGCUAGUUGGUGUGGUAAUGGCACACCAAGGCGACGAUCAGUAGCUGGUCUGAGAGGAUGAACAGCCACAUUGGAACUGAGACACGGUCCAAACUCCUACGGGAGGCAGCAGUGGGGAAUUUUCCGCAAUGGACGAAAGUCUGACGGAGCGACGCUGCGUGAAGGAUGACGGCCUGCGGGUUGUAAACUUCUUUUCUCGAAGAAGAAGCUCUGACGGUAUUCGAGGAAUAAGCAUCGGCUAACUCCGUGCCAGCAGCCGCGGUAAGACGGAGGAUGCAAGUGUUAUUCGGAAUGAUUGGGCGUAAAGAGUCUGUAGGCUGUAUGGAAAGUCUUUUGUUAAAUGCCUCGGCUCAACCGAGAUCCAGCAAAGGAAACUUCUAUACUUGA
rnacentral:rRNA from 1 species